rnacentral:tRNA from 1 species
GGGGAUAUAGCUCAGUCGGGAGAGCGCCGCCCUUGCAAGGCGGAGGUCACCGGUUCGAACCCGGUUAUCUCCA